UGGCGAACGGGUGAGUAACACGUGGACAACCUGCCUCAAGGCUGGGGAUAACAUUUGGAAACAGAUGCUAAUACCGAAUAAAACUCAGUGUCGCAUGACACAAGUUAAAAGGCGCUUUGGCGUCACCUAGAGAUGGAUCCGCGGUGCAUUAGUUAGUUGGUGGGGUAAAGGCCUACCAAGACAAUGAUGCAUAGCCGAGUUGAGAGACUGAUCGGCCACAUUGGGACUGAGACACGGCCCAA
rnacentral:rRNA from 1 species